GAAGCGGAGCAAGGGCGCACGGGGGAUGCCUUGGUUCCCGGAGGCGACGAAGGACGUGGUAAGCUGCGAAAAGCAACGGGGAGGUGCAAACGACCAUAGAUCCGUUGAUGUCCGAAUGGGGCAACCCAUCAUGCUGAAGGCAUGAAGACCAGAGGGUCGCGAACCUGCCGAACUGAAACAUCUAAGUAGGCAGAGGAAAAGAAAACAAGUAGUGAUUCCGUCAGUAGUGGCGAGCGAAAGCGGAAGAGGCCAAACCGGCGAGCGAGCUCGUCGGGGUUGAAGGACUGCCAUCAGGCCGAGGGGGGUUAGUUGAAGUUGUCUGGGAAGCAACACCACAGAGGGUGAAAGUCCCGUAAGCGAAAACUCACUGAGGCUGGGCAGUAUCCUGAGUAGGGCGGGGCUGGAGAAACCCUGUCUGAAUCUGCCGGCACCAUCCGGCAAGCCUAAAUACUACCGGGAAACCGAUAGCGAACCAGUACCGUAAGGGAAAGGUGAAAAGCACCCCGAGCAGGGGAGUGAAAAGACCCUGAAACCGUGCGCUUACAAGCGGUCGGAGCCACCUAUGGGUGGUGACGGCGUGCCUUUUGCAUAAUGAGCCUACGAGUUGCGCCUCACUGGCGGCAUAAGCACUUCAGGUGCGCAAGCGCAGCGAAAGCGAGUCUUAACAGGGCGCUAGUCAGUGGGGGCAGACGCGAAACCGAGUGAUCUAUCCAUGGGCAGGCUGAAGUUUCGAUAAUCUCGGAAUGGAGGGCCGAACUGGUAAGGGUUGAAAACCUUUCGGAUGACCUGUGGAUAGGGGUGAAAGGCCAAUCAAACUCGGAGAUAGCUCGUACUCCUCGAAAUGCAUUUAGGUGCAGCGUUUGGAGUUGUUUGCCGGGGGUAAAGCUACUGACAAGGCUAGGGGGCUUCACCGCCUACCAACCCUUAACAAACUCAGAAUACCGGCAAAUGCAUCCGAGCAGUGAGCCCCAGGGUGCGAAGGUCAUGGGGCGAGAGGGGAACAACCCAGACCAACAGUUAAGGUCCCUAAGCGGUGUUAAGUUGCGACAAACGAUGUGGGAAUGCUUUGACAGCCAGGAUGUUUGCUUGGAAGCAGCAAUUCAUUUAAAGAGUGCGUAACAGCUCACUGGUCGAGCGUUUCUGCGCGGAAAAUAAUCGGGCAUCAAACACCGCACCGAAACUUUGGUUCUACUACGGAAGUAGUAGGAGGUAGGGGAGCAUUCUGCGACGAAGAAGCGACGCUGCGAGGCGUUGUGCAGUCAGCAGAAAAGCAAAUGUAGGCAUAAGUAACGAUAAACGGUGUGGAAAACAUCGUCGCCGUAAGACCCAGGGUUCCUGAUCGACGUUACUCGGAUCAGGGUUAGUCGGGUCCUAAGGAUAAGCCGAAGGGCGAAGCCGAUGGCAAGCAGGUCAACAUUCCUGCACCUGCCUUACACUGGAAGCGACGCAUGGUUGUGGCCGCUAGGUUCUGACGGAAUAGAGCCUGGAGCCAAGGUCUACGGACUGCGGCGAAGCGGUAAAGGCUGUGCCAAGAAAAGCGAGUAAGGCAGCCCGUACCGGAAACCGACACAGGUGGUCGAGGAGAGUAUCCUAAGGCGCUCGAGUGAUUCGUGGCUAAGGAACUAGGCAAAAUAGUCUCGUAACUUUGGGAGAAGAGAUGCCCCGCGAGGGGCCGCAGUGAAGAGGCCCAGGCGACUGUUUAGCAAAAACACAGGACUCUGCCAAAUCGCAAGAUGAAGUAUAGGGUCUGACACCUGCCCGGUGCCGGAAGGUUAAGGAAGGGGGUUAGUCGCAAGGCGAAGCUCUUGACCGAAGCCCCGGUAAACGGCGGCCGUAACUAUAACGGUCCUAAGGUAGCGAAAUUCCUUGUCGGGUAAGUUCCGACCUGCACGAAUGGUGUAACGAUCUGGGCACUGUCUCAGCCACGAGCUCGGUGAAAUU
rnacentral:rRNA from 1 species